GAUGAACGCUGGCGGCGUGCCUAAUACAUGCAAGUCGAGCGAACGGACGAGAAGCUUGCUUCUCUGAUGUUAGCGGCGGACGGGUGAGUAACACGUGGAUAACCUACCUAUAAGACUGGGAUAACUUCGGGAAACCGGAGCUAAUACCGGAUGAUAUUUUGAACCGCAUGGUUCAAAAGUGAAAGACGGUCUUGCUGUCACUUAUAGAUGGAUCCGCGCUGCAUUAGCUAGUUGGUAAGGUAACGGCUUACCAAGGCAACGAUGCAUAGCCGACCUGAGAGGGUGAUCAGCCACACUGGAACUGAGACACGGUCCAGACUCCUACGGGAGGCAGCAGUAGGGAAUAUUCGGCAAUGGGCGAAAGCCUGACGGAGCAACGCCGCGUGAGUGAUGAAGGUCUUCGGAUCGUAAAACUCUGUUAUUAGGGAAGAACAGAAGUAUAAGUAACUGUGCACAUCUUGACGGUACCUAAACAGAAAGCAACGGCUAACUACGUG
rnacentral:rRNA from 1 species